GAUGAACGCUGGCGGCGUGCCUAACACAUGCAAGUCGAACGGAGUCCAGCCUUUAAGACCUUCGGGUCAAAGAGGGGAAGACUGAGUGGCGGACGGGUGAGUAACACGUGGGCAACCUGGCUCAUAGAGGGGGAUAACAGAGAGAAAUUUCUGCUAAUACCGCAUAAGCACACACUGCCGCAUGGCAGAGGGUGAAAAGCGAAUCGCUAUGAGAUGGACCCGCGUCUGAUUAGCCAGUUGGCAGGGUAAGAGCCUACCAAAGCGACGAUCAGUAGCCGAUCUGAGAGGAUGAACGGCCACAUUGGGACUGAGACACGGCCCAGACUCCUACGGGAGGCAGCAGUGGGGGAUAUUGCACAAUGGGGGGAACCCUGAUGCAGCGACGCCGCGUGAGUGAAGAAGUAUUUCGGUAUGUAAAGCUCUAUCAGCAGGGAAGAUAAUGACAGUACCUGAAUAAGAAGCCCCGGCUAACUACGUG
rnacentral:rRNA from 1 species